GUCGGUUUAGCAUAUGUUUAGUGUGUGGGAUUGUAGCUCCCGAGGAGGAUUGAUUUCUGGCCGGAA
rnacentral:tRNA from 1 species